UCGAAUAACCAAGAGUCCUGGUAAAUUAUACAUCAGAAUUCCUAAGCGAACACAGCACUGGAUGUGGAGCUGGAAAAUUCCUAUAUAAAUCCUAGCUCUUCCAUCUACCACAUUGAAAAUGAUCUUGAGUGAAACGUGGUUAAAGAACAAAGCGGAAUGAUGUCAACUUGAUGACCUCAAUGUAUUCACAUUUGAAAUACCUUAAAAUAUUUUUCUGGCAACACAAAAGACAUCUGCUGUCUUAAGUUGGCACUGACACUUUCUUUAAAUUAUAUAUGCAACAAUAUUACAGUGACAUCGGCAGCAUCAAAGAAACAAAAACCAAAACCCAAACAGAAUGAAGCAAAACACAAGAAAGCACAUAAACCUUAAUGGUGAGUUAAUUAAAUUCUUAAUGGUGAGAUGGCAAUGUUUUGAGUAUUACAAUGCCUUCAUAAAUGAAUAGGUAGCCCCUGUGAAACCAUGUUAUUGGUUCACCCAUUCACUCACUAUUUUUACAUCUUUGCUCUUUGUCUCUGUAAAUUCACUAAUUCUUUCUGAUGUUAUGUUCUCACACUCUGAGCCAUUUUUAUCAAUUUAUAAUAAACUUGAUCGAAUAGUA